UUGCUUUGGCAGCACAUAUACUAAAGUUGGAACUAUACAGAGAAGAUUAGUAUGACCCCUACACAAGGAUGACAUGCAAAUUUGUGGUGUUACAUAUUUUG
rnacentral:snRNA from 1 species